rnacentral:tRNA from 1 species
GGCGCGGUUCGCGGGUGCGGAGGCAGGCCUGCGCAAGCCCGUCCGUGCGAGUUCGACUCUCGCCUGCGUCU